rnacentral:rRNA from 1 species
AGCUAGUUGGUGAGGUAACGGCCCACCAAGGCAACGAUCGGUAGCCGGACUGAGAGGUUGAACGGCCACAUUGGGACUGAGACACGGCCCAGACUCCUACGGGAGGCAGCAGUGGGGAAUAUUGCACAAUGGGGGAAACCCUGAUGCAGCGACGCCGCGUGGAGGAAGAAGGUCUUCGGAUUGUAAACUCCUGUUGUUGAGGAAGAUAAUGACGGUACUCAACAAGGAAGUGACGGCUAACUACGUGCCAGCAGCCGCGGUAAAACGUAGGUCACAAGCGUUGUCCGGAAUUACUGGGUGUAAAGGGAGCGCAGGCGGGCGAUCAAGUUGGAAGUGAAAUCCAUGGGCUCAACCCAUGAACUGCUUUCAAAACUGAUUGUCUUGAGUAGUGCAGAGGUAGGCGGAAUUCCCGGUGUAGCGGUGGAAUGCGUAGAUAUCGGGAGGAACACCAGUGGCGAGGGCGGCCUACUGGGCACCAACUGACGCUGAGGCUCGAAAGUGUGGGUAGCAAACAGGAUUAGAUACCCUGGUAGUCCACACCGUAAACGAUGAUUACUAGGUGUUGGAGGAUUGACCCCUUCAGUGCCGCAGUUAACACAAUAAGUAAUCCACCUGGGGAGUACGACCGCAAGGUUGAAACUCAAAGGAAUUGACGGGGGCCCGCACAAGCAGUGGAGUAUGUGGUUUAAUUCGACGCAACGCGAAGAACCUUACCAAGUCUUGACAUCCUGCGACGGACAUAGAAAUAUGUUUUUCCUUCGGGACGCAGAGACAGGUGGUGCAUGGUUGUCGUCAGCUCGUGUCGUGAGAUGUUGGGUUAAGUCCCGCAACGAGCGCAACCCUUAUGGUCAGUUACUACGCAAGAGGACUCUGGCCAGACUGCCGUUGACAAAACGGAGGAAGGUGGGGAUGACGUCAAAUCAUCAUGCCCUUUAUGACUUGGGCUACACACGUACUACAAUGGCGUUAAACAAAGAGAAGCAAGACCGCGAGGUGGAGCAAAACUCAGAAACAACGUCCCAGUUCGGACUGCAGGCUGCAACUCGCCUGCACGAAGUCGGAAUUGCUAGUAAUCGCAGAUCAGCAUGCUGCGGUGAAUACGUUCCCGGGCCUUGUACACACCGCCCGUCACACCAUGAGAGCCGGGGGGACCCGAAGUCGGUAGUCUAACCGCAAGGAGGACGCCGCCGAAGGUAAAACUGGUGAUUGGGGUGAAGUCGUAACAAGGUAGCCGUAGGAGAACCUGCGGCUG